UCAAAUCAUCAUGCCCCUUAUGCUUAGGGCUACACACGUGCUACAAUGGGUAGUACAGAGGGUUGCCAAGCCGUAAGGUGGAGCUAAUCCCUUAAAGCUACUCUCAGUUCGGAUUGUAGGCUGAAACUCGCCUACAUGAAGCUGGAGUUACUAGUAAUCGCAGAUCAGAAUGCUGCGGUGAAUGCGUUCCCGGGUCUUGUACACACCGCCCGUCACACCACGGGAGUUGGAGACGCCCGAAGCCGAUUAUCUAACCGUUUGGAAGAAGUCGUCGAAGGUGGAAUCAAUAACUGGGGUGAAGUCGUAACAAGGUAGCCGUAUCGGAAGGUGCGGCUGGAUCACCUCCUUUCUAAGGAGA
rnacentral:rRNA from 1 species